GUAGUGACUGACUACGGACUGGACGGCCGAUGCCCGACAGGGUCAGAGGAUUUUUUCUCUUGUAAUCAACGUUAGAUUUUUUAGAAGGGCCGGUGUUUUAUUAUCAACUAUCAGCGACUAUCAGCUUCUCAAAGGCUUCAUUGGGUGAUUAACCAAUGUUUUUCGGAACCUUACUUCUCCAUCGUCAGAGUUUACGUAGGAACAUAUCGCCACCGUCACUGGAUUGACCUGGGUCAGAAUUGUAUCCAGUGGGACCUGUUGUGAUGAUUCUGGUGAACACAGCUGAAGAACAUUUCAUGAUCGGCUAAAAAAACUUUUCAUUUUACGUAUUGGCAAUAAAUCAAAGAAUUUCUUCACUCAGCCUCUCAAAUGCUCUUGACAUGAUCAACCCGCUGAUUCAAGUUAACAAACCACUGAGCAUACGAAUCGUAUACAUCAACAAAUUUAAACGCGAUUAUAUUAGAAACAUCAACAAACUAUGUUACAACGCCAGGAACUCGCACUGCACACAGCGCAUAAUAACGAGUAGCCAAACCAGUUCGUUUCUGUUUCCAACAGCUAAAAACAUCUCUGUUUGCAGAGCGCUACUCCAAUUUCAAGCACAUGAUUUAAAAACUGGCCUCUGACAAACAAAGGAAGGCAACGAGCCAUUUUGGUGUCAAAAUGUUUUGAAUUUGCAAGGAUUGAUGGUAUUGCAUGAGAGUCGUUUUAGAGGACAGACGAGAGCAAAAGUUUGAAGACUUGUUCCCUGAAAGCUAGGCUGGUCUGCGGUAGACAUUUUUGAAUGCAGAACGACAUAUUUCGCUUUACAGUAGGUAGAGCUGUCCGACAAUAAACAAUGAGGAUGAGGGAAACGAGAAAUUCACAAAAUAUUUUGGUAUAAAAAUGUAAAGGAAGAAAUUGAUCAGAUGAAAGUAGUGUGUGGAUAAUAUUAAAUUAUUUAAAGCACAGUAAUAAUUUUUGCUACAAUCUGUUGGAAAAUUCAGUUAUCAAUAACUAUACAUUUUAUUUACUCACAGGGUUUAUAUGUGAGUUUUGUAUAAUUAUGACAAUAAACAGCAUUUGCAUUCCUAAACAUAAAUAACUAAUUAAUCUUCGUAAUGGACACGCAGUGUGUUAUUAUCAGCAAAACUUAAUAUGUUAAAAUUUAGGCGAGCUUCGUGCCCUAGAAGUUUAACGGGCUCAGGAGUUUGUUAUGGCCUGAAUAGAACAGGAACAAGUACAUCUGUACUGGGACAUUCUAUAUUGUUAUAACAAUUUUACUCAAUGUUCAGUCACUUACGACAACAAUUUACAGCACCUAAGACUUCGAUAACCACUGAACUUAGUUGCUGUUGUAACCUUUGAAGAAUAUGUUUCAAUUACUAAUCAUCUGCAGGUUCGUUUCUGCACUGAAUGCGUACCCCAGACCACUUUUACCAGUAAACACACCGUUCGUUAAUUUUGUAUGUUACCACGAAGAAAUUGAAAAAAAGUGGGGGUGGAAUAGACUAAAAGAGCAAAAGACACGAUUGAAACCUUGCUGUAUUCAUUUCAGUACUUUUAAAUAGUUGAAUUGUGUGAUGUUUCUUUCAUGCGUGCCCCGCUAUUGUAUCUUGGU